CCUACGGGUGGCUGCAGUGGGGAAUAUUGGGCAAUGGAGGCAACUCUGACCCAGCAACGCCGCGUGAAUGAUGAAGGUCUUCGGAUGGUAAAGUUCUUUUCUCAGGGACGAAGAAAGUGACGGUACCUGAGGACUAAGCCACGGCUAACUACGUGCCAGCAGCCGCGGGAAUCCGUAGGUGGCAAGCGUUAUCCGGAUUUAUUGGGUGUAAAGGGCGUGUAGGCGGGAGCGCAAGUCAGAUGUGAAAACUCAGGGCUCAACCCUGAGCCUGCAUUUGAAACUGUGUUUCUUGAGUGCUGGAGAGGCAAUCGGAAUUCCGGGUGUAGCGGUGAAAUGCGUAGAUAUACGGAGGAACACCAGUGGCGAAGGCGGAUUGCUGGACAGUAACUGACGCUGAGGCGCGAAAGCGUGGGGAGCAAACAGGAUUAGAUACCCGGGUAGUC
rnacentral:rRNA from 1 species